GGAUUCUAAUUAGUUAACCUUGCUUGGAACCUCUCGGGGUUACUGCCUUGCUGAAUUAUUCACCCUUGUCUUUUGCGUACUUCUUGUUUCCUUGGUGGGUUCGCCCACCACUAGGACAAACAUAAACCUUUUGUAAUUGCAAUCAGCGUCAGUAACAAAUUAAUAAUUACAACUUUCAACAACGGAUCUCUUGGUUCUGGCAUCGAUGAAGAACGCAGCGAAAUGCGAUAAGUAUUGUGAAUUGCAGAAUUCAGUGAAUCAUCGAAUCUUUGAACGCACAUUGCGCCCUUUGGUAUUCCAAAGGGCAUGCCUGUUCGAGCGUCAUUUGUACCCUCAAGCUUUGCUUGGUGUUGGGCGUCUUGUCUCUAGCUUUGCUGGAGACUCGCCUUAAAGUAAUUGGCAGCCGGCCUACUGGUUUCGGAGCGCAGCACAAGUCGCACUCUCUAUCAGCAAAGGUCUAGCAUCCAUUAAGCCUUUUUUUCAACUUUUGACCUCGGAUCAGGUAGGGAUACCCGCUGAACUUAAGCAUAUCAAUAAGCGGAGGAA
rnacentral:rRNA from 1 species